rnacentral:rRNA from 1 species
GAUUGUGCCAGCCGCCGCGGUGACACGUAGGCACCAAGCGUUAUCCGGAUUUAUUGGGCGUAAAGAGCUCGUAGGCGGUUCGGUAAGUCGGGUGUGAAAACUCUGGGCUCAACCCAGAGACGCCACCCGAUACUGCUGUGACUAGAGUGCGGUAGGGGAGCGGGGAAUUCAUGGUGUAGCGGUGAAAUGCGCAGAUAUCAUGAGGAACACCAGCGGCGAAGGCGCCGCUUUGGGCCGUAACUGACGCUGAGGAGCGAAAGCAUGGGUAGCAAACAGGAUUAGAUACCCUGGUAGUCCAUGCCGUAAACGUUGGGCACUAGGUGUGGGUCUCAACCAACGAGAUCCGCGCCGUCGCUAACGCAUUAAGUGCCCCGCCUGGGGAGUACGGUCGC